AAAAUCAUAAGUUAUAUUUUUUUAUUAAGAAAUACACAAUUUUAAUUUAUGUUAGAAACAUAAGGAUAUUAACAUCUUUGUAAUUUUUUUUUUGUUAAAAAAACAUAAUUUAAAAAUAAUAAUUAAUAAAUUAUUCUUAAAAAUUAUUAUUAUCAAGUUAUUCUUAAAAAUCAAAAGAUUCAUUAAAAUAUUCAAAUUAUUAAUUAUGUAUUCCUUAAUUUAUAAUCUAUUUACCUAGUAAGAAAAAAAAAAUAUAUAUGGUAGUUUGUAUAGGAGAAAUAAUAUAGUCUAACUCAUAAUAUAUCACUUUUGAAGUUCAUUUUUCUAAUAGAAAAAUUUAUAAAAAUGUAAUUAUAUGUAGAAAAGAAUUAAUAAAGUUAUUGUGAAAUAAUUUUAAUCUAUAAAUUUCUAGUAUUAGUAAAUUUAUUAUUUGAGUUUUAAAUUAUUUUUAAAAAAUGUUAGAUUUAUCCAUGAUUCCAACACAUUAAAUUUUAUUUAAUUUAAAGUUUAUCAUCAAAGUUCCACGUAUCCUAAGAUUAACUAAAGCAACAACCCCACUUCACCACUUUACCACAUGAGCUAAAAUGAAAAAACAUGUCUCAACCACGUUAGGGAGAUGUGAGAACAAAGAAAAAAGGAAAAAAGAUAAAAAGACUUGGAGAUAAUCUUUAAAAUAUAGCAUGCUAGAAUCUAGAAAUGACUGAUAUAUUCCUCAUCUUAUGGCAAAUAUGGACCCAUUUGAGCUCUCCCUUUGGGUCCUAGCUAUUUAAUCUUAGUUUAGGGGUAGUGCAGAUAGGUUUGUGUUGACCCUAAAGUUGCCUCCUCGGCCAAAUUGGGCUCUAAUGAUGCUAGGCCUCAAACGUGCUGGGCUAGCCCAAAUCCAAGCUAGCUAGCCCUGCCCUGCCAGCUAGCCCAUGGGUCUGCUGGCCCUUUAAGGACCAAAUACUGCAUAUUAAUUCUAGAGACCUUGUCUUUAAAAACUGAAAAUUUGGUCUGCAAAUGGAGUCCUUUCAGGAAAGGCAGAACAUAAAAGUAAGAAAGCAAGAAUCAAUUGAACAAUUGUUAUUGUUUCUUUUUUUGUGCUUGGGGGAGCUGUUUGGACGAAAUUUCUACUGUUGGAAUUCUUAUGCUUCAGUUACAAGUCAUGGUUUAUCUUCUAUGAUGACCACAUGAUGAUGAAUUUUUAAGAAAAACAUUAUUUCAUGUGCUUUAAGAAGAAUCACAUGCACGACCAAAUAGUAUAUAAAAAUCACUACAAUAUUAAAUUAUUUUUUGGUGGCUAUGCAUUCAAUAUUACAAUAUUAAGUUGGUAAUUGUUAGACGCUAGAUAGCCUAUGGAGUAUGCCAAGGAUUAGAAAUAGUUAGAAAAUAGUCAUCAAAUAAAGCGAGUUUCAAUAAUAAUUUAUGUUACUAUUAGAUGCUAAAGUAGUCUAUCUCUGGAAAUGCAAUAAUAUGGUUAUAUUAUUUCCAGAAAUUUAAACAUUAUAUCCAUUUCAAGUUAGUACAUUUAACUUUUAGUGGCUUAUAAAUAAGUUCAUAAACAAUAUUCCUAGCUAUUUCAUUAGGUUCCAAAAUGCCUUCUAUAGGGACAAGCCCAAAAACUAGCCCAUGAUCCUAACUUGGCCUAAGUCGUGUAUGGACAUGGACCAGCCUAAGUUGUGGCUUACCACUAGGCUUGACCCAUGAGCCUAUUGUUGGGGUUGAUCCUUUGAGAGGCAUUUUGGAAUCGAAUGAAAUAGCCUAGUUGUGUAUGGGCUGAUCACUAGGCUUACCCCAUGAGCCUAUUUUUGGGCUUGCUCCUUAGGAAGGCAUUUUGGAACUAAAUGAAAUAGCCAAGAGUUGAUAAACUUGUUUACAAGCCUUUUAUGUUAAUGUUUUGGCUUAAAUGGAUUAAUUUUACAAGACUAGUUUUGUUAACAUUGACCACUAUAUUGUCAUAAGUCAUAUGGUCUAUCUUAUACAUGUCUCAAUUUCAAAUAUAUAUAUAUAUAUAUAUCUACCAAUGAAUUUUCUUAGCAAUAAAUGGAUCUAUGAACCUUGACUUGGAAGACUUUGACUCCUUUGCAUUAAGAUAUAUGAGAGAGGGAAGGAUCUAUGAACUUUUCAAAUAUGGAUUUUAGUGGAAAAGUAGGUAGAAUAUUUCAAGAACGUGAUAAUUUUUUUUUUUUUUUUGGUUUUGUCUUACUUGACUGACCAAAUAAGAUAUUAAUUAAUCUGAUUGCAAAGGUUCCUUGGCAACUUCUUUUAAGUAACUAGGAAAAUUCAAUAUUUAAAUUUGUUUGGUUUGCACUAUCAUUGUCAAAAAAACACAAAAUGUUAUUUAUAAUCUUCUUAUGAAUGUUAAACACAUGUAAAUGUAAAUGAUGAAAUUAUGUAAACUAAGAACAUAUUUAAUUUACGGUCUAGACUAGGACAAAAUAUUAAUGAAAUAUGAUUAUAUAUAUGCUUUUAUUUUUUUUUCUUUUUUGGAACCAAAAUUUUAUCAUUUUAAAAUUAGAUAUUUUUUUAUAUUUUAUUUUGGUUAUUCAAAGUGAUUAACAUGAAUUUUUUUUGAAAGAAAUAUCUAAUAAAUAUGAGAAAUAAAUAUAUUAUCCAAAAUAUAUGUAGAUUCCAUUUUUCAUGAGAUUGUUAAAUUUCGAUAUGAUAAAAAGAAUUAAUAAAGUUAAUAUGACCUUAAAAGAGAGAGAAACAUGUAGCACCCCACAUUUCAUGCCAAACCGCCCAUUUUCCAUGACUUUUCCACCUUCCCAACCACACCCCAACCCCCCUCUUUAAAACCCUUCCUUACUUUAGUGCUUCAUGGUGCAUGAGUAUUGUAUGGGCCGUUUUACUUUCUCUUUUUCUUAUACAUGUGUCAAUUUCAAACAAUCAUAUAGUCCAUUAUACAUGUGUCAAUUUCAAACAAUAGCCUACCAAUGAAUUUUCUUAGCAAUAAAUGGACAUUUUUCCUCACCUUGGAAGACUAACACAUUUGCGGUAAGACAUGUGAUAAAAGAAGAAUCUAUGAACUUUUCAACGACAAGUUUUUGUGGAAAAGUGGGUAAUAAUCUUUUUUGUUUUGUCUUGCUUGACUAACCAAAUAAAAUAUUGAUUGAUCUUUAUUAUGAAGGUACCUUAGCAACUCCUUCAAGUAGCUAGGAAAGUUCGGUCUUUAAAAUUGCUUAGUUUGUACUAUUAUUGCAAGAAAAAGGUAAAUGUUAUUUAUCAUCUUCUUAUAAAUAUUAAACAGAUGCAAAUUAUGAAAUUACGUAAAAUAAGGUCAUAUUUAAUUGAUGGUCUAGACUAGGAUAAAAUAUCAAUGAAAUCUAUAUAUGUGUGUGUAAUAUUUUAAUUUAUAUUAUGAUAUAAAUAUUUUUUUUCUUUUUGAAACCAAAAUUUUAUCUUCUAAAAAUUAGAUUUUUUUUUUUUGUUAUUCAAAGUGAUUAACAUGAAAUAUUUUGAAAAUAAUUUUUUUAGAGAUCCAAUGAAUAUGAGAAAUAAAUUUACUAUCCAAAAUAUAAAUAUAUUCCAUUUUUCUUCAUGAGAUUGUUAAAUUAAUUCAAUAAUAUCAUAAAUCAUAGCCCUCCAAUAAGACUUUGACUACUAUAUUAUCAUAAAUCAUAUAUCAUAUGGUCCAUUAUACAUGUGUCGUCUUCAAACAAUGGCCUAUCAAGUGAAAUUUCUUAGUAAUAAAUGGAUGUCCUUGCCUUGGAAGACUUUGACUCUUUGCAAUAAGAUAUGUGACAGAGGAAGAAUCUAUGAAAUUUUCAAAUAUGGAUUUGUGUAAAAGUGGGUGAUAUAUUUCAAGAAGACAACAAAUAAUCUUUUUGGUUUUGUCUUGCUUAACUAACCAAAUAAGAUAUUGAUUGAUCUUUACUACGAAGGUGCCUUGCCAACUUCUUCAAGUAGUCAAAAAAAGCCAAAUAUUAUGUAUCAUCAUCUUAUGAAUGUUAAAUUAUAUAAUUUAAGGUCAUAUUUAAUAGAGGGUUUCGACUAGGAUAAAAUAUUAAUUUGUUUUUUAUAUAUAAAUAUAUAUAAUUUUAAUUUGUAUUAUAAUAUAAAUAUGCUCUUAUUUUUUUCUUUUUGGAUUUUUUUUAAAUUAGAUUUUUUUGUUUUUUUUUUUGUUCAAAGUGAUUAAAAUGAAAAAAAAAAUCGAAAAAAACAUUUAAGAAAUCCGAUGAAUAUGAGAAAUAAAUUUAUUAUCUAAAAGGCAUGUAUAUUCCAUGUUUUUCAUGAGAUUAUUAAAUCUCAUAUAAAGGGAUAUGAUAAAUAAAAUGAAUAAUCAUUUCUCUUAUCUAUUUUUGAACCAAACAUAAAAUAAAGUUGAUAUGAUCUUAAGAGCAUAGCAUGUAUCUUAGAUAAAGUAAACAAAAAAAUAAAAAAUAAAGAGGUUAUUAUGAUUUGCAAAUAAAACUAAAAUGCAAAUCAAUUAUUUUGGAGAAUAUAAAUGCCCAUUACAACAUCAACAAACGUUCUACAUGGAUCAAAAUUCUUAGCUAGUCGCUUUCAAGUAUCAUAUUCCUUCAAUAAUUCUAAUAAGGCCGGCUUUGUUGAUAUUGACCACCACACUGUCAUAAAUCAUACAAUCCAUUAUGCAUGUGUCAAUUUCAAACAAUGGCCUACAAUUGAAUUUUCUUAGCAAUAAAUGGAUAGCAUCGAAUUCCUUCAACAACUCCAACAAGACUGGUUUUGUUAACAUUGACCACUAUAUUGUCAUAAGUCAUAUGGUCCAUUAUACAUGUCUUAAUUUAAAAAAAAAAAAAAAAGAGUCUACCAAUGAAUUUUCUUAGCAAUAAAUGGAUCUAUGAACCUUGACUUGGAAGACUUUGACUCAUUUGCAUUAAGAUACAUGACAGAGGGAAGGAUCUAUGAACUUUUCAAAUAUGGAUUUUAGUGGAAAAGUGGGUAGAAUAUUUCAAGAAUGUGAUAAAUAUUUUUUUUGGUUUUGUCUUGCUUGACUGACCAAAUAAGAUAUUAAUUAAUCUGAUUGCAAAGGUUCCUUGGCAACUUCUUUUAAGUAACUAGGAAAAUUCAAUAUUUAAAUUUGUUUGGUUUGCACUAUCAUUGUCAAAAAAACACAAAAUGUUAUUUAUAAUCUUCUUAUGAAUGUUAAACCCAUGUAAAUGUAAAUGAUGAAAUUAUGUAAACUAAGAACAUAUUUAAUUUACGGUCUAGACUAGGACAAAAUAUUAAUGAAAUAUGAUAAUAUAUAUAUAUAUAUAUGCUUUUUUUUUUUUUUUUUUUUUUUGGAACCAAAAUUUUAUCAUUUUAAAAUUAGAUAUUUUUUUAUAUUUUAUUUUGGUUAUUCAAAGUGAUUAACAUGAAAUUUUUUUGAAAGAAAUAUCUAAUAAAUAUAAGAAAUAAAUAUAUUAUCCAAAAUAUAUGUAGAUUCCAUUUUUUCAUGAGAUUGUUAAAUUCUGAUAUGAUAAAAAGAAUUAAUAAAGUUAAUAUGACCUUAAAAGAGAGAAAAACAUGUAGCACCCCACAUUUCACGCCAAACCGCCCAUUUUCCAUGACUUUUCCACCUUCCCAACCACACCCCAACCCCCCUCUUUAAAAUCCUUCCUUACUUUAGUGCUUCAUGGUGCAUGAGUAUUGUAUGGGCCGUUUUACUUUUUUUUUUUUUUUUGUUAAUGUGUGGAAUUGUGCAAAUCCGACGCUUUGGAUACAGAUGGAGUGUUAUGUAUGAUUAAAUAAGUAACGACUAAUUUUAGUGAUUUGAUUGAAUCUAGAAAAAUCCAAUAGUAUACGAUGUCAGUGCCCAACCACUUUUUAUGUCGGGGCAUGGUCACUGGCCUGUUUAUGUUACAAGGAAGAUAUCAUGAAGCUUCUUUCACUCUCUCUCUCAUUAUUUCUCUGUUUUUGGUACAAGUACAACAAACAUUUUGAAAUCCUUAGUGAAUUUUUAUAGAAACAAAUUCUAAUUAUGAAGAAAGAAAAAUAGAAGGUCCAUCGCCAUUAAGGACAGAUUUAUCUUUUAGCUCAUUCUAUGACAUAAUCAUCUAUUCCUAUUUUUUAAACCAAAUAUUUCAUAAAUAAAUUUUUAAACUAGUGUCAAGGUUCUAACAAAUGCCUUAUUCUACGAAGUCAUGAAUAAAUUAUGAUUCAAUUAAAACAUGAAGUACACAUUUCCACAUCUUGCCUAGAAACCUGUUAUUCCAUAAAAAGCAUAGAUUAUGGAAGUUGAUUAAGGUGAGGAUUGAAAUUACUAAAAAUAUUUUUUUUGUUAUUCAAAGUGAUUAACAUGAAAUAUUUUGAAAAGAAAUAUUUUAGAGAUCCAAUGAAUAUGAGAAAUAAAUUUACUAUCCAAAAUAUAAGUAUAUUCCAUUUUUCUUCAUGAGAUUGUUAAAUUCAAUAUUAUCAUAAAUCAUAGUCCUCCAAUAAGACUUUGACUACUAUAUUGUCAUAAAUCAUAUGUCAUAUGGUCCAUUAUACAUGUGCCCACUUUAAACAAUGGCCUACCGAGUGAAUUUCUCAACAAUAAAUGGAUAUUAGUCCUUGCCUUGGAAGACUUUGACUCUUUGCCAUAAGACAUGUGAUAGAGGAAGAAUCUAUGAAAUUUUCAAAUAUGGAUUUUUGUGGAAAAGUGGGUGAUAUAUUUCAAAAAGUCCAUAAAUAAUUUUUUGGGUUUUGUCUUGCUUGACUAACCAAAUAAUUUUUUGAGUUUUGUCUUGCUUGACUAACCAAAUAAGAUAUUGAUUGAUCUUUACUAUGAGCCUUGGCAACUUCCUCAAGUAGUCAAAAAAAAGCCAAAUACCAUGUACCACUAUCUUAUGAAUGUUAAACAAAUACAAAGUGAUGAAAUUAUAUAAAUUAAGGUCAUAUUUAAUUGAGGGUUUAAACUAGGAUAAAAUAUUAAUUUGUAUUUCAUAUAUAUAAUUUAAAUUUGUAUUAUAAUAUAAAAAUGCUUUUAUUUAUCUUGUUUUUGUAAUAAAAAAUUUAUUUUUUUAUUUGAGAUUUUUCUUCUUUUUAUAAAAGACAUGAUAUUGCAUGUUUUCGUGAGAUUAUUAAAUCUCAUAUAAAGGGAUAUGAUAAAUAAAAUGAAUAAUCAUUUCUCUUAUCUAUUUUUGAACCAAACAUAAAAUAAAGUUGAUAUGAUCUUAAGAGCAUAGCAUGUAUCUUAGAUAAAGUAAACAAAAAAAUAAAAAAUAAAAAGAUUAUUAUGAUUUGCAAAUAAAACUAAAAUGUAAAUCAAUUAUUUUGAAGAAUAUAAAUGGCCAUUACUACAUCAACGACCCUUGUACAUAGAUCAAAACUCUUAGCUAGUCCCUUUCAAGCAUCAUAUUCCUUCAAUAAUUCUAAUAAGGCCAGCUUUAUUGAUAUUAACCACCACAUUGUCAUAAAUCAUUCGGUCCAUUAUGCAUGUGUCAAUUUCAAACAAUGGCCUACCAAUGAAUUUUGCUAGCAAUAAAUGGAUAGCAUCAUAUUCCUUCAACAACUCCAACAAGAAUGGUUUUAUUAAUAUUGACCACUAUAUUGUCCUAAAUCAUAUGGUCCAUUAUACAUGUCUCAAUUUCAAAAAAAUGCCUACCAAUGACUUUUCUUAGCAAUAAAUGGAUCUAUGAACCUUGACUUGGAAGACUUUGACUCCUUUGCAUUAAGAAAUAUGAGUGGGAAGGAUCUAUGAACUUUUCAAAUAUGGAUUUUAGUGGGAAAGUGGGUAGAAUAUUUCAAGAAUGUGAUGAAUAAUUAUUUUGGUUUUGUCUUGCUUCACUAACCAAAUAAGAUAUUAAUUAAUCUUGGUUGCAAAAGUUCCUUGGCAGCUUCUUUAAGUAACUAGGAAAAUUCAAUAUUUAAAUUUGCUUGGUUUGCACUAUCAUUGUCAAAAAACACAAAAUGUUAUUUAUAAUCUUCUUAUGAAGGUUAAACACAUGUAAAUGUAAAUGAUGAAAUAAUGAAAUAAUGUAAAUUAAGGUCAUAUUUAAUUACGGGCUAGACUAGGACAAAAUAUUAAUGAAAUAUGUUAUAAUAUAUGCUUUUAUUUUUUUUUCUUUUUUGGAACCAAAAUUUUAUCAUUUUAAAAUUAGUUUUUUCUUUUUUCUUUUUGGUUAUUCAAAGUGAUUAACAUGAAUUUUUUUUGAAAGAGAUAUCUAAGAGAUCUAAUAAAUAUAAGAAAUAAAUUUAUUAUCAAAAAUAUAUGUAGAUUCCAUUUUUUUCAUGAGAUUGUUAAAUUCCGAUAUGAUAAAUGGAUAGCAUCAUAUUCCUUCAACAACUCCAACAAGAUUGGUUUUGUUAACAUUGACCACUAUAUUGUCAUAAGUCAUAUGGUCCAUUAUACAUGUCUCAAUUUCAAAAAAAAAAAAAUGUCUACCAAUGAAUUUUCUUAGCAAUAAAUGGAUCUAUGAACCUUAACUUGGAAGACUUUGACUCCUUUGUAUUAAGAAAUAUGAUAGAGGGAAGGAUCUAUGAACUUUUCAAAUAUGGAUUUUAGUAGAAAAGUCGGUAGAAUAUUUCAAGAACGUGAUAAAUAUUUUUUUUUGGUUUUGUCUUGCUUGACUGACCAAAUAAGAUAUUAAUUAAUCCGAUUGCAAAGGUUCCUUGGCAACUUCUUUAAGUAACUAGGAAAAUUCAAUAUUUAAAUUUGCUUCAUUUGCACUAUCAUUGUCGAAAAAGCACAAAAUGUUAUUUAUAAUCUUCUUAUGAAUGUUAAACACAUGUAAAUGUAAAUGAUGAAAUUAUGUAAAUUAAGAACAUAUUUAAUUUAUGGUCUAGACUAGGACAAAAUAUUAAUGAAAUAUUAUAUAUAUAUAUAUAUAUAUAUAUAUAUAUGCUUUUAUUUUUUUUCUUUUUUGGAACCAAAAUUUUAUCAUUUUAAAAUUAGAUUUUUUUUUAUUUUUUAUUUUGGUUAUUCAAAGUGAUUAUUUUUUUCGAAAGAAAUAUCUAAUAAAUAUAAGAUAUAAAUAUAUUAUCCAAAAUAUAUGUAGAUUCCAUUUUUUUCAUGAGAUUGUUAAAUUCCGAUAUGAUAAAAAGAAUUAAUAAAGUUAAUAUGACCUUAAAAGCAUAACAUGCACCCUUAGAUAAAGUAAACAGAAAAUAAGAAGAUUGUCAUGAUUUGCUUGUAAAACUAAAAUAUGAAUCAAUUAUUUUGAAAAAUAUGGUGCCCAUGAGUAUUUUCAAAGCCUUGUAAGUUGGAUAAAGGUUAACAUACAAAAGUGUGGUCUUGGAUUAGAAAAUGUAAGAUAUAGAAAGAAAACACACAAAGAAGGGAGAGAAAUCAUUAUAAUUACUCUGAGAUGGGAAAUAUAUCAUAAAGAUGUAUAAUUACUAAAAAUAAAAUAAACGAUAGUUUGUAUGAUGCCUCUACCAAUUAUUACUCAAAAGAUCAUUAUGCUAAACUCAAAACCACUUUGAGAGACAUAUAUAUAUAUAUAAAGAUUGAACUCAAAAUAUUGCAAUGUACUUUGAGGAAACAUAGAAUAAGAAAAUUGUUUUUAAAUUAAGUUUACAAAUACUUUUUUCUAGAAAAUAAUAAAGAAAUAUGUUAAGACUAUUCUCAUAAAUUAAUUUUUUUUUAAAUGCUACUAAAAGUAGAGAAGCCACAUUCAUACCUGUUAUUCUAUGAAUAAAUAUAAAAGGAAAAGUCUAGUAAAAAAAAUGUCUAUACAUAAGACAAAAUGCAUUAAACUAGUGUCAAGGUUCCAACAAAUGUCUUAUUCUAUGAAGUCAUGAACAAGUUAUGAUUCAAUUAAAACAUGAAGUAUUUGCCUAGAAACUUGUUAUUCCAUAAAAAGUAUAACUCAUGCAAGUUGAUUAAGGUGAGGAUUGAAAUUACUAAAAAUAUUUUUUGGUAAAAUAAAUUAGGAUUUUAUGGUUAUCCUAUAUCCUACUUCAAAUCAAUCUUGAUGAAAUUAUAUUACAUGAUGAGUAUAUGAUCCUUCAUUGAAACUCUCUAACAGGUUAAGACAAUUGUCAAAGCAAAAUCUAAACCCAAACCUCUUGAUCCGCUGGUUUUCUAUAUUGAUUUUCUCUCCAUAAAAUUUUCCCUUAUUCCCUUUGUUUUGUUUAGUCAUGGUGUUCCCCUUUGUAAGCAACUAGUUUCAAUGAAAUCUUAAAACUAAUAACCCAUGUACAAGAAUCAUUAAUGUUUCACUUGCCAAGAACAAGUUAAGCUAAGAUUCACUUGUUUACAAGUCCAUUUCAUAAUCAUUUCAUAAUUAGAGUGAAAAAAAUAUUUUUCUUUUCUAUUAUUAUUUAUGAAUGUGUAGUUAGCAAAUGUUGUAAUCAAUGGUUCAUGAUGAAUGGGAUUUUUGUACAAUAGAAUAUUUUUUAGGCUCACUUUUGAAUUAAGGUCAUGCUUAUCUUUUAACAUAAGUUUUAAAAUAUAAUAAAAUAUUUAAUAAAAUUAAGGUUUAUUUAGACUUAAGUCAAAUUACAAUUUAUUUAGUUUUAAGAUAAAUUAAACAAAUCUCAUUGGAAAAAUUCAAGCUUACAAUAUCAAUUUUCCUUUUUUUGCCACUAAUUUUCCUAUUUAGUAAUGAGAUGCUCUAAAGAGCUUAUUGUUUCCUUAUUAUUAAGAGAAAAAUCAUUAAAAUUAAUCAACUAAAGGGAUCCUUUUCCAAAUUGGAAAAUGCAAGGGAUACCAAGAUAGGUUUCACUAUUAAAAGCAAAUUCCAUGAAGGUAACUAGAAUGCUAAUUGAAACUCACAGAAAUAGAAUAAUUUAAAGUCACUUGAUCUAAAUUACUCUAAAGGUAGGCAUGUAGAGAAAGAUAUACAAUUACAAACAAAAAAUGAUCUCUCAUGAGUCCAAGUUGCAAUCCCUUGCCUAAAAAAUGAUACAUGCAUCAAUUUCUUUCCUCAUUAUGCCCUUAGGGACAUAGGAGACUAAACUAGUCGAGUUUGAGAGGUUGAACGCCAAUUGACAUUCAUUGUCAUAAUCAGUAUCCAAAAAAUAUGAUAAGAUUCAUAACACAAUGGCUGAGAUAUUCCAUGGAGAUGACAACAUGUUGCUAAAAUAAUUGAUUGCUACCUAAUAUUCCAUGGAAAAAGUUGUAUAGAUAAGAUAAAACCCGUUAAACUAGCUUGGCGGUUUAGAAAUUCAUUAAAAAUAGUUAUAUUAUGAACUAGCUUGGUGAUUUUAAUGUCAAUCAAGCAGGACAAAACCAAAAAAUCAAUUAAUUUAUCCUCUUCCUAAAAUUCAUUUCCUAUGUUUUCAUACAAAUUCAUAAUUGAGAGGUUCACGGGUUCUUCCUUUUAUCUCAUCCAACUUAUUGGAUAUUUCAGAAGGCAAAGGAAUCAAGUCCCUCCAAGUGCAAGGACAAAUCUCCAUUUAGUACCAAGAAAAUGAACUUGACGAGUACCUCUAUAUACAAUGGGCUACACAAAUUGAAAAUAAACCCCAUAUACAAUAGACCACACAAAGAAUAAAUCGUAGUGGUACAAUGGUCACACAUAUAUAAUGGACUAUAUUGUUGUAUGAACCACACAAAUUAAAAAUAGACCCUAUGUAUAGUGGACCACACAAAGAAUGAAACAUAGUGAGAAAUUGGUCACAUACAUACAAUGGACUAUAUGGUCCACGACUAUUAGUGAGAAAUAGUUGAUUAUAAAAAAUUCAUAGACUUCUUGAAAUGAUUAUGCUUGUGGGGAUGAUUUAAAAAAAAAAAUUUUAAAAAAAAGUAGACACAUAGCAAUAGGGUUCACAUGUUUCAACAAUGUAGUUAUAUCCAUCAUUGAGUUAGGAAACUUUUUAAUAACAAACCCUAACCCCUAAAGAACUAAUCUAAGUGGUUUCCGAUACUUUCAACUAACACACUAAAGGUUUGUUUGCAAAUAUUUUUAAAAUUAGUUUUUAUAUUUUAAAACAAAAAUAAUUUUCCAACCUUAAAAAUACAUGCAGAUUUUAGAAUAAAAAUAUCAUGAAAAUAGAGUGAUUGGUGUUUUUUUUAUUGCAUUUUGCAUGGUAAAUUACAUUCACCAAGACCUAAUAAAGAAAACCAUUUUUUAGAAGUUCAAAUAGAAUUUUAUUCCUAAAAAUGAUAUAAAAUUGUUUUUAUGAAUUGUUCUCAAAAACUUAUUUUUUAAAAUUAUUUUUGAAAAUAUUAUCCACCAUGCCUCAAAUUUUCUUGUGAGAACCUAACCUUGCAAUUUCCUAGGUCUAAUUUACAAUAUGCAAAAUAAUAUUGCGAGAUCUUCGCAAGUAACAAGGCAACAAAUCACAUGAGAACAAGUCUAUAAAAACUUCUCAAUGUUUCAUUUUAUUCUUUCCACGAUGCAAAGCUCUAGUUUCCAAGAUGAAAACUUGUCCACAUAAAAUUUUCCUUUUUUUCUCAACUCCUCCUAGCCACCUUAAUAGUAUUGAAGCUUCUCCUAAGAAAGCAAGACAUAAUGACUAAGGUUAUUUGUUUGAGGCUAGUUGUUUAAUAAGCUUCCUUAUAGUUGUUUACCUAACCUCAAAGCCUACUCUCGAAGAACAAGAGUCUUCUACAUUUUUUAUUUUUUGAAAUCCAUCUACGAACUUUAUGGAAGAUCUCAAUUAGUGCAAGGAAAGAAACAAUUAAUAAAGGUGGAGCCUCAAAAGCAGCCUAUUUUGUUAAACUAUAGCAAUAAAUAACAAGAUUACAUUAUCACCAUUUAUUUCAACAUGACUAUAACCUAAAUUAAACACUCAUAAUAGACAACUUUUUAUUCUAUUUCUGAUAUGGCUGUCAACUUUGGUUGGAUAGAUGUUUUGCGUCUUCUAACACUUGUCCUUGUUUGUCCCAUAGAGGUAAAAGGAUUAGGAGGCAUAACUAAAUUGCCUUCUUCUCCUUCCAACAUUCCAACCACAAUUUUCAUGGAAGGACGAUCUAUUGGAUACCAUUGGAUACACCAAAGCCCUAUGAUGCUUAGUUUCUUUGCUAUUUUAAUAUCACUUUCUUCCUCAAUUCGGAUGUGUACCUCUUGCUCUUGAUCCAAAUGAUUAUAAAGCCAUUCUGGGAAGUAUGCUUGACUUGUAUUUUCUACUGUAGCAUCAAUAUUCUUCCUUCCCCCUACCAUUUCAAUCAACAACAUACCAAAACUGUAAACAUCUGCCUUAUAAGACACAUUCCCAUAAUUUCUUGAAAACAUUUCUGGUGCAAUAUAACCCAUGGUCCCCCUUGCUGCUGUCAUAGAUACUAAACUUUGCUCCUUAGAGCAUAAUUUGGCUAAACCAAAAUCAGAAAUCUUCGGAUUAAAGUUAUGAUCAAGCAAAAUAUUAUGAGGUUUGAUAUCCAAAUGAAGGAUUCUUUGAUCACAACCUUGAUGAAGAUACUCAAUACCUUUAGCUAUGCCAAUAGCAAUAUCUUGAAGCUUAUGCCAACCCAAAGAAUAAUUAUUACCAAAUGCUGAAAAUAUGAACUUGUCUAGUGACUCAUUUGGUAAAAAUUCACAAAUCAAAGCUUGCUUAUAUCCAUCUGCACAAAACCCAAGCAAGCGAACCACAUUAACAUGAUGUAUCGUACCCAUUGUUCUCACUUCAUUAAUGAACUCUUCUCCAUUCCCUUUGAAAUCAUCAAGGAUCUUCACUGCAACAAAAAUUUCAUUCGAGAGUUUUCCUUUAUAAACGGUCCCGUAGCCUCCUUGACCUAGUUUGUCCUUGAAAUUAUUUGUGAUCUUUUUAAUAUCAGCAUAGGAGUACCUUGAGGGCUUGAGAGCUCUAUAAUCUUCCAAAAACUUUUGAAUAUUUAUUCUAUGCUCUCUUUUCAACUUAUUAGAGCGAUAGACAAUAAAGAUUAUAAAGAUUCCAAAAGUGAAAUGAAGGAAACCAAGGAUUACUUCUGCACAUUGGGAAAAAAAAGGUUUUUGUAAGCAAAUAAAAAAGAAGAAACAAACUAAGAAUCAUCAUCAUCAUGUCACCCUCAUUAUUGAAAAGAACAUGAAUAGGAAAUCACCUGUAAGCACCACUUUAUCUAUUGGGGCACCUGUAAAAGAUAAUAAACUUAUUAGCUUCUUGUAUUCUUUUAAUUAUUAAAAUCAUAAUAGAUUACAUGACGUUGUAACAUGAGUAUAAUUAUUGUUGGUGUAUUCGGAUUUCAGCCUUGGCCUUUGCAGUCCUUUCUACAGGUUUGAUUGUUUUAGCUAAGCCUAAUUGUUGUAGCUAGCUUGUAAUGAAUAAAUAAUAUUGCAUGUUCACAUCCAUUACUAUAGUAGUUAAUUUGGUUCACAUCCAUAAGGGUUCAAUCCAAUUUUAUGGUACAAACAGAGCAUACAUAAGAAAUAUCAUAGAAAAUU
rnacentral:lncRNA from 1 species